rnacentral:rRNA from 1 species
GUGGGGAAUAUUGGACAAUGGGGGGAACCCUGAUCCAGCCAUGCCGCGUGUGUGAAGAAGGCCUUUUGGUUGUAAAGCACUUUAAGCGAGGAGGAGGCUACCGAGAUUAAUACUCUUGGAUAGUGGACGUUACUCGCAGAAUAAGCACCGGCUAACUCUGUGCCAGCAGCCGCGGUAAUACAGAGGGUGCGAGCGUUAAUCGGAUUUACUGGGCGUAAAGCGUGCGUAGGCGGCUUUUUAAGUCGGAUGUGAAAUCCCCGAGCUUAACUUGGGAAUUGCAUUCGAUACUGGGAAGCUAGAGUAUGGGAGAGGAUGGUAGAAUUCCAGGUGUAGCGGUGAAAUGCGUAGAGAUCUGGAGGAAUACCGAUGGCGAAGGCAGCCAUCUGGCCUAAUACUGACGCUGAGGUACGAAAGCAUGGGGAGCAAACAGGAUUAGAAACCCUGGUAGUCC